GACCCCGCACAAGCGGUGGAUCAUGUUGUUUAAUUCGAAGAUACGCGAAAAACCUUACCAGGUCUUGACAUCCCUUGCAAUGCUGUAGAGAUACAGUGGAGGUUAUCAAGGAGACAGGUGGUGCAUGGUUGUCGUCAGCUCGUGUCGUGAGAUGUUGGGUUAAGUCCCGCAACGAGCGCAACCCUUAUUGCUAGUUGCCAUCAUUUAGUUGGGGACUCUAGCGAGACUGCCAGUGAUAAACUGGAGGAAGGUGGGGAUGACGUCAAAUCAUCAUGCCCCUUAUGACCUGGGCUACAAACGUGAUACAAUGGCUAUUACAGAGGGCCGCAAAGCUGUGAAGUGAAGCUAAACCCUUAAAAAUAGUCUCAGUUCGGAUUGAAGUCUGCAACUCGACUUCAUGAAGCCGGAAUCGCUAGUAAUCGC
rnacentral:rRNA from 1 species